GAUGAACGCUAGCGGCAGGCCUAACACAUGCGAGUCGAGGGAGAAGCCCUUUCGGGGGCUGAAACCGGCGCACGGGUGCGUAACGCGUAUGCAACCUACCUUCCACAGGGGGAUAGCCCGAAGAAAUUUGGAUUAAUACCCCAUAAUAUUAUUGGAUGGCAUCAUUUGAUAAUUAAAACUGCGGUGGUGAAAGAUGGGCAUGCGUCCUAUUAGCUAGUUGGAGUGGUAACGUCACCCCAAGGCUACGAUAGGUAGGGGUCCUGAGAGGGAGAUCCCCCACAAGGGUACAGCGACAGAGACCAGACUCCUACGGGAGGCAACAGUGAGGAAUAUUAGGCAGUGGUCGGAAAACUGAACCAGCCGUGCCACGUGCAGGAAGAAUGCCUUAGGGGUGGUAAACUGCUUGUAUAGGGGAAAAGUAAGGCGAACGAGUACGUUGAUGACGGUACCAUAUGAAUAAGCAUCGGCUAACUCCGUG
rnacentral:rRNA from 1 species